rnacentral:rRNA from 1 species
GAUGAACGCUAGCGGCAGGCUUAACACAUGCAAGUCGAGGGGUAUAGGUUUUCGGACCUAGAGACCGGCGCACGGGCGCGUAACGCGUAUGCAAUCUACCUUUCACAGAGGGAUAGCCCAGAGAAAUUUGGAUUAAUACCUCAUAGUAUAGCAGUUUCGCAUGAAACCACUAUUAAAGUUCCAACGGUGAAAGAUGAGCAUGCGUCCCAUUAGCUAGAUGGUAAGGUAACGGCUUACCAUGGCUACGAUGGGUAGGGGUCCUGAGAGGGAGAUCCCCCAAACUGGUACUGAGACACGGACCAGACUCCUACGGGAGGCAGCAGUGAGAAAUAUUGGUCGAUGGACGCAAGUCUGAACCAGCCAUGCCGCGUGCAGGAUGACGGUCCUAUGGAUUGUAAACUGCUUUUGUACGAGAAGAAACAACAUUACGUGUAAUGUCUUGACGGUAUCGUAAGAAUAAGGAUCGGCUAACUCCGUGCCAGCAGCCGCGGUAAGAC